UUGCCUGGACCGACCUGUUUUCUAGCCUCUACUUGCUGUAAGAUGGGCUAAGACACAGGACACGUCUAUAACGAAGGGUGAAUUUGAGUCUUUCUGGAUUUUGACAGGUCCCCUUCCCAUUGGGCCUCAGUUGUCCCACAAGACUGCCAGAAGACUCAAACUUGGAGCCCUUUCCUGUGACUGCCUCAUUCUUGCCUCCUGGUCUGUCCUGGUGCCCCACUAACCAUCCAGGAGCAACUCAGAGGCCAUCUGCUCCAGGAUCCUCUCUCUGGAUGCCACCUCAGAGGUCUAGGAGGGCAUUUGUAUCCUUUCUGGGAGUCAGGUCUGGGAGCUGAGGACAGGAUCUAGGUCAAGUUAAUGUGUUUUUAUCAUGUCUUCCUAAUAAAGCAGUUUGACCUCCA